rnacentral:rRNA from 1 species
AGAGUUUGAUCCUGGCUCAGGAUGAACGCUAGCGGCAGGCCUAAUACAUGCAAGUCGGACGGGAUUGGAGAGCUUGCUUUCCAUGGGAGUGGCGCACGGGUGCGUAACACGUAUGUAACCUACCUUGUUCAGGGGGAUAGCCUCUCGAAAGAGAGAUUAAGACCGCAUAAAAUCACAUUGCAGCAUUGCAAAAUGAUCAAAUAUUUAUAGGAACAAGAUGGGCAUGCGGAACAUUAGCUAGUUGGUAAGGUAACGGCUUACCAAGGCUACGAUGUUUAGGGGAUCUGAGAGGAUGACCCCCCACACUGGUACUGAGACACGGACCAGACUCCUACGGGAGGCAGCAGUAAGGAAUAUUGGUCAAUGGGCGGAAGCCUGAACCAGCCAUGCCGCGUGCAGGAAGACGGCCCUACGGGUUGUAAACUGCUUUUAUACGGGAAUAAACCUGAUUACGUGUAAUCAGCUGAAUGUACUGUAAGAAUAAGGAUCGGCUAACUCCGUGCCAGCAGCCGCGGUAAUACGGAGGAUCCAAGCGUUAUCCGGAUUUAUUGGGUUUAAAGGGUGCGUAGGUGGCCUGUUAAGUCAGGGGUGAAAGACGGUAGCUCAACUAUCGCAGUGCCCUUGAUACUGAUGGGCUUGAAUGAACUAGAGGUAGGCGGAAUGUGACAAGUAGCGGUGAAAUGCAUAGAUAUGUCACAGAACACCAAUUGCGAAGGCAGCUUACUAUGGUUUUAUUGACACUGAGGCACGAAAGCGUGGGGAUCAAACAGGAUUAGAUACCCUGAUAGUCCACGCCCUAAACGAUGAAUACUCGAUGUUGGCGAUAUACGGUCAGCGUCUAAGCGAAAGCGUUAGUAUUCCACCUGGGGAGUACGCCCGCAAGGUGAAACU